UUCACUGGCAUAAAACACAUUUAUAACACAGAAAUAAUGAUAAUAGUAGUACUGUAGUGUUUACAAUUUAGAUCAGUAGACGCAAGUAUGAAAAGCGAUAUCAAUUAUUGAUUACUUAUUUAGUAUAAAGCCAAGGUAAUACUUCACAUGUAUCGUCAGUAGAACAGACUGAACACAGUAAUGUGUUUAUUUAAACAUUAAACUACGACGAAUGGAACCUAAUAAAACCAGUUACACAAACUUGUGUGCCUCACGGAACUUAGUCGUGCUCUCAGAUUUCACCCGUGCAUGUUUUCGGCAGUUUAAACAACGCCCAGAGAGCUAAUGAUGGGAAGAGUGAAUCCUCCCAUGCAGGAACGCACACGGCUCAUCGGGACACGUUCUCGUGUGGAAAUGCGUCUUAAAACCGCAGCUGAACAAACUGUACGGACCAACAUGUUCACUUUGAAACUAGCUCUAACGAAGCGAUCAACAGUUGCACGGAAACACACCCUGGGAACUACAGCCGCACUGGACGGAACUCAUUAUAACCGGCGCACCGUCGGAGAUUAAACUAUUACCUAAGCAGGAAAAGGCGAUUGUUAGUACGAGGACAAGCCACCACCUCGUUCCCUCAGCAACAGGAAUCGCCCCACGCAGCACUUUCUGGCCAGGAGCGUGAAUGGAGCGGCGCUGCAGGUGUAUUAGAGGAUGAAAGCACCUGCAUUGAGAGCGAGGACGCGGGUGAUGAAUCGACCGCGCUGCCGUCCUCACACGCAGCCUCUCUGUGGGUGUGAGGAGGAGGAACGUCCUGCUGGACACACUCCCUGCUGGUUUCUGAGGGAGUAGGUGCAGUUGGAAACUCCAUUAGAACGGACCCCUGAUGAAAACCCAUUAAUGGCUCCGCAAUCAGGAUUGAGGUCGGGGGGAUGGACCCGGCAGCGGAACCGCACACGGAGCCAUAAAGCCUGAUGUAGCUGCCUCUCGUGGAGCAUCUGCAGCAGAGGAAGAAUAACUAUCUCAGUGUCUGCAGACCUGUUGAAUUAAAGUGGGCAUUAAGUGCGGCUUCCUCUGCAUUAUUGAUGGCCGGCUCCGUUCCCGAGGCCAUUACGCCUCCUAUUUUUCCUCUCGCAAUUUUCUCGCGGACAUCCCACUGUCUUCAAACACACUUACAGUAUGCGGUGAGGGCGAGUGGUCAGGCUCGGGGCUCGCGCCGCUCCCAGCAGGGUGCCGUUAUUUUAAACCGAGCCGCAACAA